CUGGGUGUGUCAGGUAGGCAGUGCUUUGCUAGCUGGCUGUUAUAAUUUUAUUUUAACAGUUGCUAGUUGCACUCCCCUCUGUUGCAUUCAAA
rnacentral:pre_miRNA from 15 species